CGAGCGGCGGACGGGUGAGUAAUGUCUGGGAAACUGCCUGAUGGAGGGGGAUAACUACUGGAAACGGUAGCUAAUACCGCAUAACGUCGCAAGACCAAAGAGGGGGACCUUCGGGCCUCUUGCCAUCAGAUGUGCCCAGAUGGGAUUAGCUAGUAGGUGGGGUAACGGCUCACCUAGGCGACGAUCCCUAGCUGGUCUGAGAGGAUGACCAGCCACACUGGAACUGAGACACGGUCCAGACUCCUACGGGAGGCAGCAGUGGGGAAUAUUGCACAAUGGGCGCAAGCCUGAUGCAGCCAUGCCGCGUGUAUGAAGAAGGCCUUCGGGUUGUAAAGUACUUUCAGCGGGGAGGAAGGUGCUGAGGUUAAUAACCUCAGCAAUUGACGUUACCCGCAGAAGAAGCACCGGCUAACUCCGUGCCAGCAGCCGCGGUAAUACGGAGGGUGCAAGCGUUAAUCGGAAUUACUGGGCGUAAAGCGCACGCAGGCGGUCUGUCAAGUCGGAUGUGAAAUCCCCGGGCUCAACCUGGGAACUGCAUUCGAAACUGGCAGGCUAGAGUCUUGUAGAGGGGGGUAGAAUUCCAGGUGUAGCGGUGAAAUGCGUAGAGAUCUGGAGGAAUACCGGUGG
rnacentral:rRNA from 1 species